CGGACGGGUGAGUAAUGCGUAGGAAUCUGCCUUGUUGAGCGGGAUAGCCUAGGGAAACUUAGGGUAAUACCGCAUAAGCCUGAGAGGGGAAAGCCGGGGACUGUUAAAGGCCUGGCGCAAUAAGAUGAGCCUACGUCGGAUUAGCUAGUUGGUGGGGUAAAGGGCCUACCAAGGCGACGAUCCGUAGCUGGUCUGAGAGGACGACCAGCCACACUGGGACUGAGACACGGCCCAG
rnacentral:rRNA from 1 species